AUUAGCCAUGCAUGUCUCAGUACGAGCCGUAUUAAGGUGAAACCGCGAAAGGCUCAUUAAAUCAGUUAUGGUUCCUUAGAUCGUACCCACAUUUACUUGGAUAACUGUGGUAAUUCUAGAGCUAAUACAUGCAAACAGAGCUCCGACCGGAGACGGAAGGAGCGCUUUUAUUAGAUCAAAACCAAUCGGUGUCGGGUUCGCCCGUCAUCGUACACCUUGGUGACUCUGAAUAACUUUUUGCUGAUCGCACGGUCUCGCACCGGCGACGCAUCUUUCAAAUGUCUGCCUUAUCAACUGUCGAUGGUAGGUUCUGCGCCUACCAUGGUUGUAACGGGUAACGGGGAAUCAGGGUUCGAUUCCGGAGAGGGAGCCUGAGAAACGGCUACCACAUCCAAGGAAGGCAGCAGGCGCGCAAAUUACCCACUCCCGGCACGGGGAGGUAGUGACGAAAAAUAACGAUACGGGACUCAUCCGAGGCCCCGUAAUCGGAAUGAGUACACUCUAAACCCUUUAACGAGGAUCAAUUGGAGGGCAAGUCUGGUGCCAGCAGCCGCGGUAAUUCCAGCUCCAAUAGCGUAUAUUAAAGUUGUUGCGGUUAAAAAGCUCGUAGUCGAAUUUGUGUCCCGCGCCGCCGGUUCAUCGCUCGCGGUGUUUAACUGGCGUGUCCGCGGGACGUCCUGCCGGUGGACUUAGUCCUUACGGGGGCGGUCCAGCUUCAAAACCCACCGCGGUGCUCUUUACCGAGUGUCGAGGUGGGCCGGCACGUUUACUUUGAACAAAUUAGAGUGCUUAAAGCAGGCUAAAACUUUGCCUGAAUACUGUGUGCAUGGAAUAAUGGAAUAGGACCUCGGUUCUAUUUUGUUGGUUUUCGGAACUCCGAGGUAAUGAUUAAUAGGAACGGAUGGGGGCAUUCGUAUUGCGACGUUAGAGGUGAAAUUCUUGGAUCGUCGCAAGACGGACAGAAGCGAAGCAUUUGCCAAAAACGCUUUCAUUGAUCAGAACGAAGUUAGAGGUU
rnacentral:rRNA from 1 species